rnacentral:rRNA from 1 species
ACGGGAUUUGUAUGGUGCUUGCACCAUGUAAUGAGAGUAGCGCACUGGUGAGUAACACGUGGGAACAUACCUUGAAGUGGGGGACAACAGUUGGAAACGACUGCUAAUACCGCAUAAUCCCUGAGGGGGAAAGAUUUAUCGCUUUAAGAUUGGCCCGCGGAAGAUUAGGUAGUUGGUGGGGUAAAGGCCUACCAAGCCGACGAUCUAUAGCUGGUCUGAGAGGACGAACAGCCACAUUGGAACUGAGACACGGUCCAGACUCCUACGGGAGGCAGCAGUGAGGAAUAUUGGGCAAUGGAGGAAACUCUGACCCAGCCAUGCCGCGUGAGUGAAGAAGGUUUUCGAAUUGUAAAGCUCUUUCGGAUGGGACGAUGAUGACGGUACCAUCUAAAGAAGCCCCGGCAAACUUCGUGCCAGCAGCCGCGGUAAUACGAAGGGGGCAAGCGUUGUUCGGAAUUACUGGGCGUAAAGGGUGUGUAGGCGGAUUUGUAAGAUAGUGGUGAAAUACCUGAGCUCAACUUAGGAAUUGCCAUUAUAACUAUAGAUCUGGAGUGACAGAGAGGAUAUUGGAAUACCCAGUGUAGAGGUGAAAUUCGUAGAUAUUGGGUAGAACACCAGUGGCGAAGGCGAGUAUCUGGCUGUCAACUGACGCUGAGGCACGAAAGCAUGGGGAUCAAACAGGAUUAGAUACCCUGGUAGUCCAUGCUGUAAACGAUGAAUGCUAGUUGUCGGCAAAAGCCGGUGACGCAGUUAACGCGAUAAGCAUUCCGCCUGGGGAGUACGGUCGCAAGAUUAAAACUCAAAGGAAUUGACGGGGACCCGCACAAGCG